rnacentral:rRNA from 1 species
AGCAGUAGCCGCGGUAAUACGUAGGGUGCAAGCGUUAAUCGGAAUUACUGGGCGUAAAGCGUGCGCAGGCGGUUCUAUAAGACAGAUGUGAAAUCCCCGGGCUCAACCUGGGAACUGCAUUUGUGACUGUAGAGCUGGAGUGCGGCAGAGGGGGAUGGAAUUCUGCGUGUAGCAGUGAAAUGCGUAGAUAUGCGGAGGAACACCGAUGGCGAAGGCAAUCCCCUGGGCCUGCACUGACGCUCAUGCACGAAAGCGUGGGGAGCAAACAGGAUUAGAUACCCCUGUAGUCCCUGUCUCUUAUAC